rnacentral:misc_RNA from 1 species
ACUUUAGCUUUGAUUCCAAGAGUUUAGUCAAAACUGAACUUCUACAAGCAUCUCAACAUCACAAUGGGUAUGACAUGGAGACUGAACCGUGUGACCAACUAGACAGAAUGAUGUGUGACAUUGUAGAUGGAAUGGGAUGAACUUAAGGGUUGCUUGAUUUGCCAAUAUUGUAACUAGAAUGAGAUGGACAUUAUUUGCCUACUUGUAUACUAAGUUUGUUUGAUAAUGCUUUGUAUUAUCAACAGUACUGGUGUACUCUAAAUAUUAUUGUGUGAAUAGUUCAUGAAUACAUGUACAUGUGAAGUAAAUUAACAAUGAUGCAAAUAACAUUGUGACACUGUGUAUAUUAAAAUUGCAUAAGCUCAU